rnacentral:rRNA from 1 species
GGUAGUCCACGCCGUAAACGAUGUCGACUUGGAGGUUGUGCCCUUGAGGCGUGGCUUCCGGAGCUAACGCGUUAAGUCGACCGCCUGGGGAGUACGGCCGCAAGGUUAAAACUCAAAUGGAUUGACGGGGGCCCGCACAAGCGGUGGAGCAUGUGGUUUAAUUCGAUGCAACGCGAAGAACCUUACCUACUCUUGACAUCCAGAGAACUUUCCAGAGAUGGAUUGGUGCCUUCGGGAACUCUGAGACAGGUGCUGCAUGGCUGUCGUCAGCUCGUGUUGUGAAAUGUUGGGUUAAGUCCCGCAACGAGCGCAACCCUUAUCCUUUGUUGCCAGCGGUUAGGCCGGGAACUCAAAGGAGACUGCCAGUGAUAAACUGGAGGAAGGUGGGGAUGACGUCAAGUCAUCAUGGCCCUUACGAGUAGGGCUACACACGUGCUACAAUGGCGCAUACAAAGAGAAGCGACCUCGCGAGAGCAAGCGGACCUCAUAAAGUGCGUCGUAGUCCGGAUUGGAGUCUGCAACUCGACUCCAUGAAGUCGGAAUCGCUAGUAAUCGUGGAUCAAAAUGCCACGGUGAAUACGUUCCCGGGCCUUGUACACACCGCCCGUCACACCAUGGGAGUUGGAUUCACCCGAAGGCGUUUCGCUAACCCGCAAGGGAGGCAGGCGACCACGGUGGGUUUAGCGACUGGGGUGAAGUCGUAACAAGGUAACC